rnacentral:rRNA from 1 species
CCUACGGGAGGCAGCAGUGAGGAAUAUUGGUCAAUGGACGAGAGUCUGAACCAGCCAAGUAGCGUGAAGGAUGACUGCCCUAUGGGUUGUAAACUUCUUUUAUAUGGGAAUAAAACGUUCCACGUGUGGGAUUUUGUAUGUACCAUAUGAAUAAGGAUCGGCUAACUCCGUACCAGCAGCCGCGGUAAUACGGAGGAUCCGAGCGUUAUCCGGAUUUAUUGGGUUUAAAGGGAGCGUAGGUGGAUUGUUAAGUCAGUUGUGAAAGUUUGCGGCUCAACCGUAAAAUUGCAGUUGAAACUGGCAGUCUUGAGUACAGUAGAGGUGGGCGGAAUUCGUGGUGUAGCGGUGAAAUGCUUAGAUAUCACGAAGAACUCCGAUUGCGAAGGCAGUUCACUGGACUGCAACUGACACUGAGGCUCGAAAGUGUGGGUAUCAAACAGGAUUAGAUACCCGAGUAGUC